rnacentral:rRNA from 1 species
AUUGAACGCUGGCGGCAUGCCUUACACAUGCAAGUCGAACGGCAGCGCGGACUUCGGUCUGGCGGCGAGUGGCGAACGGGUGAGCAAUACAUCGGAACGUACCCUGUCGUGGGGGAUAACUAGUCGAAAGAUUAGCUAAUACCGCAUACGACCUGAGGGUGAAAGUGGGGGACCGCAAGGCCUCACGCAGCAGGAGCGGCCGAUGUCUGAUUAGCUAGUUGGUGGGGUAAAGGCCCACCAAGGCGACGAUCAGUAGCCGGUCUGAGAGGACGAGCAGCCACACUGGGACUGAGACACGGCCCAGACUCCUACGGGAGGCAGCAGUGGGGAAUUUUGGACAAUGGGGGCAACCCUGAUCCAGCAAUGCCGCGUGUGUGAAGAAGGCCUUCGGGUUGUAAAGCACUUUUGUCCGGAAAGAAAUCGCGCUGGUUAAUACCUGGCGUGGAUGACGGUACCGGAAGAAUAAGCACCGGCUAACUACGUGCCAGCCGCCGCAGUAA